GACGAACGCUGGCGGCGUGCUUAACACAUGCAAGUCGAACGGUAAGGCCCCUUCGGGGGUACACGAGUGGCGAACGGGUGAGUAACACGUGAGCAACCUGCCCUUGACUCUGGGAUAACAGUUGGAAACAGCUGCUAAUACCGGAUACGACCUUCGAUGACAUCAUCUGGAGGUGGAAAGCGCUUUAGCGGUCAAGGAUGGGCUCGCGGCCUAUCAGCUUGUUGGUGAGGUAACGGCUCACCAAGGCUUCGACGGGUAGCCGGCCUGAGAGGGCGACCGGCCACACUGGGACUGAGACACGGCCCAGACUCCUACGGGAGGCAGCAGUGGGGAAUAUUGCACAAUGGGCGAAAGCCUGAUGCAGCGACGCCGCGUGAGGGAUGACGGCCUUCGGGUUGUAAACCUCUUUCAGCAGGGACGAAGCGAAAGUGACGGUACCUGCAGAAGAAGCACCGGCCAACUACGUGCCAGCAGCCGCAGUAAAAC
rnacentral:rRNA from 1 species